UAGGGGGGCCCAGCUGGGCGGUGCCGCUCGGCCGGCGCGACUCAACGACGGCCAGCCUGACCGAGGCGAACGCCGACCUCCCAGCUCCCUUCUUAACCCUGGACGGGCUCGUCAUGGCGUUCGACAAGAAGAAGCUAAACCCGCGUGACCUCACGGCGUUAUCCGGCGCGCACACUAUCGGCUUCUCUCAGUGCCUCAACUUCCGCGACCACAUCUACAACGGCACCAACAUCGACCCGGCAUUCGCCACACUGCGCAAGCGUACCUGCCCCGCCCAGCCCCCCAACGGCGACAUGAACCUGGCGCCGUUCGACGUGCAGACGCAGCUCGUCUUCGACAACGCCUACUACCGCAACCUGGUCGCCAAGCGCGGCUUGCUGAACUCCGACCAGGUGCUCUUCAACGGCGGCUCACAGGACGCGCUGGUGCGCCAGUAUAUCGCCAACCCGGCGCUCUUCGCCUCCGACUUUGUGACGGCGAUGAUCAAGAUGGGGAACAUCACACCGCUGACUGGAACCGCCGGCCAGAUUAGGCGCAACUGCAGGGUCGUCAACAGCUGAUUCGUCCAUCGUCUCGCCAUAUAUACGUGUUACAUAUGGGCGUAAAAUGAGUGCGUAAAGUUAGGUUGGUUACGUCUACGUAGUAAUCACCUAGCAUGCAUGGCAGAAUAAGCGGCAAUGCUACACGUACAAACAAUUUACAGGCUUUUACAGGAUGGUUGACCUUGAUUGGUCAAUAGGUGAGCGGGGCGGCCCACCCCCCUGAAAAUUAGGUGGGAGAGAUUUGUGAUUGGUUGUUAGAUGGAACGAGCGUGUAAAAGCGUGUAAGUCUUUGUAUGUCUAGCAUUUUUGCAGAAUAAGAGCCGUUUGGUUCAGAUAAUGCCUGGAUUGAGUAACCUUCCAACUCCAGGGUUGUAAGAUACAUGCUUCAUCAUGUAAGUAUCUCCGAUCGUAUGCAUGCAGUGCUAUAAUGGAAACCAA
rnacentral:lncRNA from 1 species